rnacentral:rRNA from 1 species
ACGCUCGACACCUACGGAGGCAGCAGUAGGGAAUCUUCCACAAUGGACGCAAGUCUGAUGGAGCAACGCCGCGUGAGUGAAGAAGGUCUUCGGAUCGUAAAACUCUGUUGUUAGAGAAGAACACGAGUGAGAGUAACUGUUCAUUCGAUGACGGUAUCUAACCAGCAAGUCACGGCUAACUACGUCNCACAGCCGCGGUAAUCUGAGCGGGCGUGCAAGGC